GACGAACGCCGGCGGCGUGCUUAACACAUGCAAGUCGAACGGUAAGGCCCUUCGGGGUACACGAGUGGCGAACGGGUGAGUAACACGUGGGUGAUCUGCCCUGCACUUCGGGAUAAGCCUGGGAAACUGGGUCUAAUACCGGAUAGGACCACUGCCCGCAUGGGUGGUGGUGGAAAGCUUUUGCGGUGUGGGAUGGGCCCGCGGCCUAUCAGCUUGUUGGUGGGGUGAUGGCCUACCAAGGCGACGACGGGUAGCCGGCCUGGGAGGGUGACCGGCCACACUGGGACUGGGAUACGGCCCAGACUCCUACGGGAGGCAGCAGUGGGGAAUAUUGCACAAUGGGCGCAGCCUGAUGCAGCGACGCCGCGUGAGGGAUGACGGCCUUCGGGUUGUAAACCUCUUUCAGCACCGACGAAGCGCAAGUGACGGUAGGUGCAGAAGAAGGACCGGUCAACUACGUGCCAGCAGCCGCCGUAA
rnacentral:rRNA from 1 species